UUAAGCAUAUCGAAGCAGUACUAUCAGUACAAAUUCUAGCAUGUUUGAACAUUUACUUGAUUUUUUGUAAAUUGCCUCGAUUGAAAUUAGCAUGGCUUCUUAAAUACUUAACCGUAUGCAUGCAUAUUGUGCAUACGUCACCAUGUAUGCAAGUACCUACAACGAGAAAUGUUAAAUAAAUAGAAAUUCCGAUAUCCAAUUCCUUAAACAAUAAUUUGAUCAUCAAUAGCACGGGUUGUAGUCAUGCUAUGAAAAUCGUGCAUUUUAUUUUCUCCAUUGCUCAAUUUUAUUCGUUUUGUUUGUCUUUAUUAAAGGUGUCAGAUGAACACAGGUGCUGUGCUGGUAUUUAUUCAUUUUCAUAUUUAUGCAGCGGUUUUGCAUUCAAUUGUUGUCUUACUUGCUUAUGCAUUAGAUAAUAGAAGUAUUUUUGUAAAAAUAAACGACGAGACAGUUUUUCUGGCGACCUGCAGUUGUUUAUAAUUAAUAUAUUUUCAAUCAGUUCAAUUUAUGUAACUUGAGGCAUUAUUAUUCCUUCAUUUAUCAGGUUUUAAAAGCUAUUGCAGGUUGACGACAACAGCUUGAUAAGUAGGACAUGAGGACGGAAUUUGAUCCAUAAGCCAGAAAAGUGACGGGCAGGCUGCUGCAUGUUUUCUCAAAGUCCAGAUAUUCACACGAUUCGGCCAAGAAAAAUGAACUGACUUAUUAUUGACUGAAAUGUAGUAGCAUGAAUUACGGUUGUGGACACUCAUGAGAAUGAGAUUAAUUUGAUGAUGCCUAAUGAUUAGAGUUAGACCGGGUCAACCGUUCACCUUAACCUCUCCAGGGAAAUGACAUGGCUGUCUGAAUAGUGAUUGCUUAUCGUAUUUCUCAGAUUCCUACUCGCCAUUGUUCCACCAGGCAAGUUGGACCAGAGAAAAUCACUGUAUUAGCCCUCGCAGUCCUCGAAUCGCUCAUAAAUAUCAUUUGAUACUCUAUUUAACAGUGAUUGAAUGGUCCACUUAAAAUUUUAUGUCUGUUUGAUAUGCUAAUUCACAGCAAUACGUGCAAAUGAAUAUGUGUCCUCUUUUCUCGAGUUUCACUGAAAGAUGGCUGAAUGGAUUAUUGUCCGAAGAAGAAACCUUAUAUUAUAAUUUGACGUCAAAAACAACAUGUCAUCGGAACUCGUGGAUGCAAAAAUAUCCGUGUGAAAUAAAAUCAACUUGAAAUUAUUACUCAUUUGUGCGUAUAAAAAUCUCAAAAUUUAAAACUGAUUUGAUUUUGUGAACCUACGGUUGAUGA